UUAUUCAUCUUUGGAUCCCAAACACCAAAACCAGUGCCUGACAUGUGAUGUGUAUAUGAUUUUGUAUUUUUAUGAGUGGGUAUAUUUUUAAGUAAAUAAUUCACUUUCUAAAACGAAUAACAUGUAAUUGAGUAUUGUUACUUCUGGAUUUUUAUACAUCAGGUAUAUCUAGAGAAAAUUAUUCAGUUUUCGUAGAAUUAAAAAGAUUAACUACUGCUCACAGUUUGAAACUGGAUCAAACUUAUGAUAUAAAGCCCUUCUUCCAAUAUUCCAUAGCUAAUAACACCUAUGAAAUCUCAAAGGUCAAUGGAAACAAAAUAAUCAAAACAGAUAUGUUUCCUUUCAGUAAACCUCAGAUACAUUUGAAGCAUUUGCCUACGAGACUUUAAAAAUGUUGUUCAGCAGUCAUUUAAAUGCAUUUGCAGAUGUCAUGGCAAAAAGCAAAUUAUCUGGUUGAUUACAUUUUCUUUCUAGGUUGUUGCUCUUUAGAGUUCUCUGCCCCUUGCCCUAAGAGCAGAGUCACAGAAAAUGUUGGGUUUUGUUGAUAGAACUUGAAUCUUCAAAUCAACAGGAUAGAAGCCCGAUAUUCACUGUAAUUACUACUACUGUAUUCUGAGGAUAGGAAAGGUAAAAAUAUAUUUCCCUACCCUCUGGCAAGGUACAAUGAAAACAAAUUAGAGUUCUGUGGUAGAGCUCCUUGGCUGUUCCUUGAGCA
rnacentral:lncRNA from 1 species